rnacentral:rRNA from 1 species
GAGUUGCGUAGGUGGCAGAGUAAGUUGGUAGUGAAAGCGUACGGCUCAACCGUAUAUACAUUACCAAAACUGCUCAGCUAGAGGACGAGAGAGGUAGAUGGAAUUCCUAGUGUAGGGGUAAAAUCCGUUGAUAUUAGGAGGAACACCGAUGGCGUAAGCAGUCUACUGGCUCGUUCCUGACACUCAGGCACGAAAGCGUGGGGAGCAAACGGGAUUAGAUACCCCGGUAGUCCACGCCGUAAACUAUGGAUGCUAGCUGUUAUGGGUAUCGACCCCCGUAGUAGCGAAGCUAACGCGUUAAGCAUCCCGCCUGUGGAGUACGGUCGCAAGACUAAAACAUAAAGGAAUUGACGGGGACCCGCACAAGCGGUGGAGCGUGUUGUUUAAUUCGAUGGUAAGCGAAGAACCUUACCCAGGCUUGACAUCCUUGGAAGCUUUCCGAAAGGAAAGUGUGCUUUAUUGAACCAAGAGACAGGUGAUGCAUGGCCGUCGUCAGCUCGUGUCGUGAGAUGUUUGGUUAAGUCCAUCAACGAGCGCAACCCUUAUAGUUAGUUGAAUUUCUCUAGCUAGACUGCCCUGGUAACAGGGAGGAAGGGGGGGAUGAUGUCAGGUCAGUA